rnacentral:rRNA from 1 species
AGCGAACGCUGGCGGCAGGCCUAACACAUGCAAGUCGAACGAGACCUUCGGGUCUAGUGGCGGACGGGUGAGUAACACGUGGGAACGUGCCUUUAGGUUCGGAAUAACUCAGGGAAACUUGUGCUAAUACCGAAUGUGCCCUUCGGGGGAAAGAUUUAUCGCCUUUAGAGCGGCCCGCGUCUGAUUAGCUAGUUGGUGAGGUAAUGGCUCACCAAGGCUACGAUCAGUAGCUGGUCUGAGAGGAUGAUCAGCCACAUUGGGACUGAGACACGGCCCAAACUCCUACGGGAGGCAGCAGUGGGGAAUCUUGCGCAAUGGGCGAAAGCCUGACGCAGCCAUGCCGCGUGUAUGAUGAAGGUCUUAGGAUUGUAAAAUACUUUCACCGGUGAAGAUAAUGACUGUAGCCGGAGAAGAAGCCCCGGCUAACUUCGUGCCAGCCGCCGCUGUAAAAC